GGGGAAUAUUGGGCAAUGGGGGAAACCCUGACCCAGCGACGCCGCGUGAGGGAAGACGGUCUUCGGAUUGUAAACCUCUUUCAGCAGGGAAGAAGAAGUGACGGUACCUGCAGAAGAAGCCACGGCUAACUACGUGCCAGCAGCCGCGGUAAUACGUAGGUGGCAAGCGUUAUCCGGAUUUAUUGGGUGUAAAGGGUGUGUAGGCGGGACUGCAAGUCAGACGUGAAAAUCAUGGGCUCAACCCAUGACUUGCGUUUGAAACUGCGGUUCUUGAGAGUGGGAGAGGUAAACGGAAUUCCUGGUGUAGCGGUGAAAUGCGUAGAUAUCAGGAGGAACACCGGUGGCGAAGGCGGUUUACUGGACCACAACUGACGCUGAGACACGAAAGCGUGGGGAGCAAAC
rnacentral:rRNA from 1 species